rnacentral:rRNA from 1 species
AGCAGCCGCGGUAAUUCCAGCUCCAAUAGCGUAUAUUAAAGUUGCUGCAGUUAAAAAGCUCGUAGUUGAAUUUCGGGACCAUCAUGUCGGUCGUGCCUCGGUACGUACUGGUAUUGUUGGUUUCUCCCUUCUGACGAACCAUGAUGUCAUUUAUUUGGUGUUGUGGGGAAUCAGGACUGUUACUUUGAAAAAAUUAGAGUGUUUAAAGCAGGCUCACGCUUGGAUACAUUAGCAUGGAAUAAUGAAAUAGGACGUUUGAUUCUAUUUUGUUGGUUUCUAGGAUCGACGUAAUGAUUAAUAGGGAUAGUUGGGGGCAUUAGUAUUCAAUUGUCAGAGGUGAAAUUCUUGGAUUUAUUGAAGACUAACUACUGCGAAAGCAUUUGCCAAGGAUGUUUUCAUUAAUCAAGAACGAAAGUUAGGGGAUCGAAGACGAUCAGAUACCGUCGUAGUCUUAACCAUAAACUAUGCCGACUAGGGAUCGGAUGAUGUUAAUUUUUUAAUGACUCAUUCGGCGCCUUACG